rnacentral:rRNA from 1 species
GAUGAACGCUAGCUACAGGCUUAACACAUGCAAGUCGAGGGGCAGCGGGAUUGAAGCUUGCUUCAAUUGCCGGCGACCGGCGCACGGGUGAGUAACGCGUAUCCAACCUUCCGUACACUCAGGGAUAGCCUUUCGAAAGAAAGAUUAAUACCUGAUGGUAUGAUGAGAUUGCAUGAUAUCAUCAUUAAAGAUUUAUCGGUGUACGAUGGGGAUGCGUUCCAUUAGGUAGUAGGCGGGGUAACGGCCCACCUAGCCAACGAUGGAUAGGGGUUCUGAGAGGAAGGUCCCCCACAUUGGAACUGCGACACGGUCCAAACUCCUACGGGAGGCAGCAGUGAGGAAUAUUGGUCAAUGGACGAGAGUCUGAACCAGCCAAGUAGCGUGAAGGAGGAAGGUCCUACGGAUUGUAAACUUCUUUUAUAAGGGAAUAAACCCUCCCACGUGUGGGAGCUUGUAUGUACCUUAUGAAUAAGCAUCGGCUAACUCCGUG